rnacentral:lncRNA from 1 species
GGACUAAAAAAAGGUACCUUUAGGCCCCGGAAUUAGUAAUACCAACAGGGACUAUAAGGGGCCUCUAGGUCUGGCCACGGGGCAGGCUAUUUAGUCCCAGAUGGUAGUAGCAACCGGGAAAAGAGGUCCCUUUUUUUAUUUUCUGUUUUUGUUUUUUUUCAAUUGAUGAUUAGUUUUGAUAUUAAAAUAGGAUUCAAAUAUGGUCUGUACACUGCUAAUGCUAAUAGAUAUGUCACACCCGUAAGUUUUCGUUCGAACAUUGUACAUAGUAAAUAGCAAACGAUUAUACAUAUAUAUGAUCACAUGUUAUUUUAUGUAUAC